GGCAUUAUAGUGUAGUGGUUAUCACAGCGGAUUCUGAACAACAUUCCGACUUCCGUUAACCCAGGUUCGAGUCCUGGUAACGCCU
rfam:Jaapia argillacea MTCL 33604 unplaced genomic scaffold JAAARscaffold_16, whole genome shotgun sequence.